rnacentral:misc_RNA from 1 species
AACUUUUAGCAAUGGAUCUCUUGGCUCUCGCAUCGAUGAAGAACGCAGCGAAAUGCGAUAAGUAAUGUGGAUUGCAGAUUUUCAGUGCAUCAUCGAAUCUUUGAACGCACCUUGCGCUCCUUCGUAUUCCGAGGAGCAUGCCUGGUUGAGUGUCAUCAAAUUCUCAACUCCAAGGGUUUCACGACCUUUUGGAGAUUGGACUUGGAGGUGCCGGCCGCAUAUAUAUAUGGUCAGCUCCUCUCAAAUGCAUCAGCGGAAUUCAACCUUUGGCUUCCGGACGUCAGUGUGAUAAUCAUGUUGCGCUGUCGUUUGAUCCUCAGAGUCCGCUUAUAAUGGUCUUUGGACAAAUCAUCAUCAAAUUUGACCUCAAAUCGGGCAGGACUACCCGCUGAACUUAAGCAUAUCAAUAAGCGGAGGCU